rfam:Tritrichomonas foetus strain K scaffold_246, whole genome shotgun sequence.
AGUUCUGUGGACCGAGUGGUCAAAGUCAGCUGACUUAAAAUCAGUUUAUCGCGAGUUCGAUUCUCGCCAGAACUA